ACAAAAGAAGAAGAUUUUUAAAUAAAGAUCUUACAACAAAAGUAUGCAUCUCUUUCUUUUAACGGAUAUGUGAGAUUGAGAAUCACCUUCUAGCAAUGCUAAAAUAGGAUAGAUUAUUGUUCAUGCAAUUUAAGGAUACCUAAUAUAACAGAUUGGGAUACUAAGAAAUAAUUUUCAGAAGUUUAUACAAUUCCGAGCCUAAAAUGUUCUAAGAUGACUUGAGAGUUCAUCUCUUAUUAGAAAAGAAGGCUCAUUUUUAUGGCUGAAGUUGCUGGAAAUGUAAAAUUCGUUUAAAGCGUUUGUCACUUGUUUAAGGGGAUCUCAUGUUGGGAUACCCUUUCUUUGCUCGCUCAUAGAAAAGUAAAAAGAAGUUCUAGCUAAGUAAAAUUCGAUCUAGAUGGAGGAAAGAUUUGGAGUGCAAAUAUCCAUGAGGUAUUGAAUAGUCCUGUUUGUAGACAAGUAGUA
rnacentral:lncRNA from 1 species